CCUACGGGCGGCAGCAGUGAGGAAUAUUGCACAAUGGGGGAAACCCUGAUGCAGCGAAGCCGCGUGAGGGAAGAAGUAUUUCGUUAUGUAAAGCUCUCUCAGCAGGGAAGAAAAUGACGGUACCUGAGUAAGAAGCCCGGCUAACUACGUGCCAGCAGCCGCGGUAAUACGUCGGGGGCCAGCGUUAUCCGGAUUUACUGGGUGUAAAGGGGGCGUAGACGGCAGUUCAAGUUUGGAGUGAAAGGCGGGGGCUCAACCCCCGGACUGCUCUGGAAACUGGACGGCUGGAGUGCAGGAGAGGUAAGUGGAAUGCGUAGUGUAGCGGUGAAAUGCGUAGAUAUCAGGAGGAACACCAGUGGCGAAGGCGGCUUACUGGACUGUAACUGACGUUGAGGCUCGAAAGCGUGGGGAGCAAACAGGAUUAGAUACCCCUGUAGUC
rnacentral:rRNA from 1 species